GCUCCCCUCCGGUUCUUCCCCAUCUCCCAUUCCCCUCCCUCAUGCUUUCCACACGGGUCGAUAGAAUCCAGCAAUCCCUAGCCGCCGGAAUUCGACCCACCGUAGCCGGCGAGAGUCCACCGCCGAUGGGGAGAGCCUUUCCAGUUGGAACGACCACCCACAUCGGGGCAGAGGGGAACCGCGUGCGUGGCCAACAAGUGGACCGACGGGCGAGAUGCUGCGCCGCGGACGCGACGGGGAGAAGAGAGGAAGGGGGCGCGCGUGGGCGGCUGGCCUACAAGGAACCAACGCGUCUCUGCCACAUCUACAAACCGCAGGCAACAGAAAAUAGUGGAAACUAGGCACUAGACAACCUUUUCCGCCAUCCCCUGGCUCGGCAGGUUUUAAGAUGGAGGACUCUCCAGAUCAAUACGAUGGCGAGCAGAAGCAAGGUGCAAGACAAUACAGAAGAUACAAUUCAAGAUUUAGCAACUUUUAUCUAGCAUCCAUUUCUACAGGGUACGGGGAUGCAAGAACAGGGGACAAGAUCCAAGUCAUGUUCUGCAAACACUUUGGUACAUGGGGCAAUUUUUGUAACUAGAAGAUUAGGGGGGAAGGAGGAGAGCUCCCCAACGCUACGCCAUGGCAUCCGACGGUGGCUGGGGAAGGAGUUGCACAGGAGAUCUGGGCUGGUGGGCGUUGGGUUUUCUAGUGGUGGGUGGAGGGGAGGAUCACGUGAGGGAAAGGAUGGUUGGUUGUCGAGACGUGGCAACAAGCGAGGGAAAUUGGACUUGCCUUUUUUAGCACAUGGGGUGGGGGACCGAUAGGGACACUUUUCUUAAGUGCCGGCCGCGAGAUCCACUCGCAUAGCGCGCGGGCGCUGUGUAGCAACGUCCAUAGAUGAUUAGGGCAUGUACAGUGAUGCUAUCUUAGGAGUGCCACAUAGGAUAAAUGAUGAGGUGGAAGAGAGAGAACUCAUAAAAAAAGGCUUGUCUUCUCUUAUUUAAGAUAAGACAAGAGAUGAUCUCUUAGCAUAAUUUGUCUCACCAUGUUUUAAGGAAUUGCUAGUUAUUAAAGAUAAGGGCAUGUACAAUGGUUGAUAAGAUAGUCUUGUCUUAUGCAAACUUGUCUCACCAUGUUUUAAGGAAUUGCUAGUUAUUAAAGAUAAGGGCAUGUAUAAUGGUUGAUAAGAUAGUCUUGUCUUAAGCUUUGCAUGUAAUUUAGAGAUGACAAAAAAAAUGUCUACAAUGGGUCAUUUCUUAGCCUUAUCUUCAAUAACUAGCAAUUCCUAAAAAUGUGGUGAGACAUAUUAUGCUAAGAGAUCAUCUCUUAUCUUAUUUUAAAUAAAAAAAAGACAAACCUUCUAUUAUGAGUUCUCUCUCCUCCACCUCAUCAUUUAUCUUACGUGGCACUCCUUAGAUAGCACCGUUGUACUCCCUCCGUUCCAAAA